rnacentral:rRNA from 1 species
UCUUGCAAACUAAAGAUGGCGACCGGCGCACGGGUGAGUAACACGUAUCCAACCUGCCGAUAACUCGGGGAUAGCCUUUCGAAAGAAAGAUUAAUAUCCGAUAGUAUAUUAAAACCGCAUGGUUUUUACUAUUAAAGAAUUUCGGUUAUCGAUGGGGAUGCGUUCCAUUAGUUUGUUGGCGGGGUAACGGCCCACCAAGACUACGAUGGAUAGGGGUUCUGAGAGGAAGGUCCCCCACAUUGGAACUGAGACACGGUCCAA